AUGCACGAGGCACGCCCUUUAGCCAUCCGCAAAUAUAUGGCAACUCAAGGCUAUAAGAGUCUUGAUAAGAAAGCUGGUAGGAGACUCCGUCUUGAGAAGGACAAGUACAUGCAGGUUACUCCGAGAUGGUGCGUCGAUAAGGGGGAGUGUUGGGAGCGGAUCGUGGACUAUUGGUGUUCCAAAGAGUACAGGGCGAAAAACAAAGACUAUAGAAAUCGGCGAGCCGGAAUGCUGGAUCCACUACAUCAUCAAGGCAACUUGAAUGUUAUGGAGUAUGGUGAACGUUGGGCGUCUCACCAUAAUGCUCCAGUGCCCAACCUUUUUGUCUCGUAUGCUUUGGCCCAUAAGGCACCGUACAGAACAGCCACGCCUUACGAUGCGAAUGACACAGCGUCCGCGUACUCCAGCAAGACCGCCUAUGAUCGGAUGGAGAAAUUUAAAGGGGUGGCAAAAGAGUUGAAAGGGCCCGAGUAUGAUGUGACAACAGAGCCUCUUGACCACGCUUUGGUCAUGAUCUCUGGAGAAGGCAGGAAACAUGGCAAGGAAGCAAUUGCAGGAGGCAUGUUCCCUAGCUCCUCCCGUAGCUCUCUCCCUGAAUACAAAGCUCGGUUACGUAUCUCAAAAUCUUCUACAUAUAAACGCUCGACUCCAGCUAUGGUUGAGAUGGAGGCCCGACUGGCGAGGCGAGUGGCGACAGAGGAGAGGGAGGAGGAGAGGCGAGUGGCAGCGGAGGAGAGGCGACUGGCUGAUGAGAGGAUGCAGCAAGCGGUGCAGCAGGCGGUGUUGGCACAAACUAGUCAAUGCUUUGCAAUGUUUGCGGCUUAUUGUACCCAGAAUGGUAUGCCCGCUAUGCAGAUGCCUCAAUCAGGCCAUGGAUCUAAUGCUGAUGGAUCUUCACAUGCACGAGGCCCAAGCGACAACAACCUUGGUGGUUCUCCGAAUGUUUGA
rnacentral:rRNA from 1 species